rnacentral:rRNA from 1 species
GAUCCUGGCUCAGGAUGAACGCUAGCGGCAGGCUUAACACAUGCAAGUCGAGGGGCAGCAUAAUGGAUAGCAAUAUCUAUGGUGGCGACCGGCGCACGGGUGCGUAACGCGUAUGCAACCUACCUUUAACAGGGGGAUAACACUGAGAAAUUGGUACUAAUACCCCAUAAUACUCAUAGAAGGCAUUCUUUUAGUUGGUUAGUAAAACUUCCGAGUUGGUUAGAGAGUGGGCAUGUCGUUGUUAUUAG